UACGUAGGUGGCAAGCGUUGUCCGGAUUUACUGGGCGUAAAGAGCGCGCAGGCGGUCGAUCAAGUCGCGUGUGAAAGCCCCCGGCUCAACUGGGGAGGGUCACGCGAUACUGAUCGACUCGAAGGCAGGAGAGGGUAGUGGAAUUCCCGGUGUAGUGGUGAAAUGCGUAGAUAUCGGGAGGAACACCAGUGGCGAAGGCGACACGCUGGGCCGUACCUGACGCUAAAGCGCGACAGCAUGGGGAGCAAACGGG
rnacentral:rRNA from 1 species